rnacentral:rRNA from 1 species
UACGUAGGGUGCAAGCGUUGUCCGGAAUUAUUGGGGCGUAAAGAGCUUGUAGGCGGUUUGUCGCGUCUGCUGUGAAAUUUCGGGGCUCAACCCCGAACUUGCAGUGGGUACGGGCAGACUAGAGUGUGGUAGGGGGAGACUGGAAUUCCUGGUGUAGCGGUGAAAUGCGCAGAUAUCAGGAGGAACACCGAUGGCGAAGGCAGGUCUCUGGGCCACUACUGACGCUGAGAAGCGAAAGCAUGGGGAGCGAACAGGG